rnacentral:rRNA from 1 species
UACGGAGGGAGCUAGCGUUGUUCGGAAUUACUGGGCGUAAAGCGCACGUAGGCGGCUUUGUAAGUUAGAGGUGAAAGCCCGGGGCUCAACUCCGGAACUGCCUUUAAGACUGCAUCGCUUGAAUCCAGGAGAGGUGAGUGGAAUUCCGAGUGUAGAGGUGAAAUUCGUAGAUAUUCGGAAGAACACCAGUGGCGAAGGCGGCUCACUGGACUGGUAUUGACGUUGAGGUGCGAAAGCGUGGGGAGCAAACAGG